GGUAACAGGAAUUAGCUUGCUAAUUUGCUGACGAGUGGCGCACGGGUGCGUAACGCGUAUACAAUCUACCUUUUGCUGAGGGAUAGCCCAGAGAAAUUUGGAUUAAUACCUCAUGGUAUUAUUGAUAGGCAUCUAUUAAUAAUUAAAGGUUACGGCAAAAGAUGAGUAUGCGUCCCAUUAGCUAGUUGGCGAGGUAACGGCUCACCAAGGCAACGAUGGGUAGGGGUCCUGAGAGGGAGAUCCCCCACACUGGUACUGAGACACGGACCAGACUCCUACGGGAGGCAGCAGUGAGGAAUAUUGGACAAUGGGCGAGAGCCUGAUCCAGCCAUGCCGCGUGCAGGAAGACUGCCCUAUGGGUUGUAAACUGCUUUUAUACAGGAAGAAUAAGCCUUACGUGUAAGGUGAUGACGGUACUGUAAGAAUAAGGACCGGCUAACUCCGUGCCAGCAGCCGCGGUAAUACGGAGGGUCCGAGCGUUAUCCGGAAUUAUUGGGUUUAAAGAGUCCGUAGGCGGAUGAUUAAGUCAGGGGUGAAAGUUUGCAGCUCAACUGUAAAAUUGCCUUUGAUACUGGUCAUCUUGAGUUGUAUUGAAGUAGGCGGAAUAUGUAGUGUAGCGGUGAAAUGCAUAGAUAUUACAUAGAACACCAAUUGCGAAGGCAGCUUACUAAGUACUAACUGACGCUGAUGGACGAAAGCGUGGGUAGCGAACAGGAUUAGAUACCCUGGUAGUCCACGCCGUAAACGAUGGAUACUAGCUGUUCGGG
rnacentral:rRNA from 1 species